GCGGGCGUAGCUCAGUUGGUAGAGCGUCACCUUGCCAAGGUGAAUGUCGAGGGUCCGAAUCCCUUCGCUCGCUCCA
rnacentral:tRNA from 1 species